GAUGAACGCUGGCGGCGUGCCUAAUACAUGCAAGUCGAGCGAACGGACGAGAAGCUCGCUUCUCUGAGGUUAGCGGCGGACGGGUGAGUAACACGUGGAUAACCUACCUAUAAGACUGGGAUAACUUCGGGAAACCGGAUCUAAUACCGGAUAAUAUUUUGAACCGCAUGGUUCAAAAGUGAAAGACGGUCUUGCUGUCACUUAUAGAUGGAUCCGCGCUGCAUUAGCUAGUUGGUAAGGUAACGGCUUACCAAGGCAACGAUGCAUAGCCGACCUGAGAGGGUGAUCGGCCACACUGGAACUGAGACACGGUCCAGACUCCUACGGGAGGCAGCAGUAGGGAAUAUUCCACAAUGGGCGAAAGCCUGACGGAGCAAUGCCGCGUGAGUGAUGAAGGUCUUCGGAUCGUAAAACUCUGUUAUUAGGGAAGAAAAUAUGUGUAAGUAACUGUGCACAUCUUGACGGUACCUAAUCAGAAAGCCCCGGCUAACUACGUG
rnacentral:rRNA from 1 species